rnacentral:rRNA from 1 species
UACGAAGGGGGCAAGCGUUGUCCGGAAUUAUUGGGCGUAAAGAGCUCGUAGGCGGUGUGUCACGUCGGCCGUGAAAACCUGCAGCUUAACUGUGGGCGUGCGGUCGAUACGGGCAUCACUGGAGUUCGGCAGGGGAGACUGGAAUUCCUGGUGUAGCGGUGAAAUGCGCAGAUAUCAGGAGGAACACCGGUGGCGAAGGCGGGUCUCUGGGCCGAUACUGACGCUGAGGAGCGAAAGCGUGGGGAGCAAACAGG